rnacentral:rRNA from 1 species
UACGGGGGGGGCAAGCGUUGUUCGGAAUUACUGGGCGUAAAGGGCUCGUAGGCGGCCAACUAAGUCGGAUGUGAAAUCCCCAGGCUCAACCUGGGAACUGCGUGUGAUACUGGAUGGCUUGAAUUCGGGAGAGGGAUGCAGAAUUCCAGGUGUAGCGGUGAAAUGCGUAGAUAUCUGGAGGAAUACCGGUGGCGAAGGCGGCAUCCUGGACCGUAACUGACGCUGAGGAGCGAAAGCGUGGGGAGCGAACAGG